GACGAACGCUGGCGGCGUGCUUAACACAUGCAAGUCGAACGGAAAGGCCCUGCUUUUGUGGGGUGCUCGAGUGGCGAACGGGUGAGUAACACGUGAGUAACCUGCCCUUGACUUUGGGAUAACUUCAGGAAACUGGGGCUAAUACCGGAUAGGAGCUCCUGCUGCAUGGUGGGGGUUGGAAAGUUUCGGCGGUUGGGGAUGGACUCGCGGCUUAUCAGCUUGUUGGUGGGGUAGUGGCUUACCAAGGCUUUGACGGGUAGCCGGCCUGAGAGGGUGACCGGCCAAAGGGGGAGGGAGAGAGGGCAGAGACGGAAAGGGGGGGAAGGAGGGGGAAAUAGGGAAGAAGGGGGGGAAGCAGGAGGGAGAAAGCCAGGGGGGGGAAUGAGGGAUUGGGGGGGGAAAACAGAUUGCGCCGGGGAAGAAGGGAGAGUGAGGGAAAGGGAAAAAAAAGAACCGGCAAACUACGUG
rnacentral:rRNA from 1 species